CCUACGGGAGGCAGCAGUAGGGAAUCUUUCACAAUGGGCGAAAGCCUGAUGGAGCAACGCCGCGUGUAGGAUGAAGGCCUUCGGGUUGUAAACUGCUUUUAUAAGCGAGAAAUAUGAUGGUAACUUAUGAAUAAGGAUCGGCUAACUACGUGCCAGCAGCCGCGGUCAUACGUAGGAUCCGAGCAUUAUCCGGAGUGGCUGGGUGUAAAGAGUUGCGUAGGUGGCAUAAUAAGUAGCUAGUGAAAUCUGGUGGCUCAACCAUUCAGACUAUUAGCUAAACUGUUAAGCUCGAGACCGUUAGGGGUAACUGGAAUUUCUAGUGUAGGAGUGAAAUCCGUAGAUAUUAGAAGGAACACCAAUAGCGUAGGCAGGUUGCUGGGACGGUUCUGACACUAAGGCACGAAAGCGUAGGGAGCAAACGGGAUUAGAUACCCUUGUAGUC
rnacentral:rRNA from 1 species